AACUUUCAAAAACGGAUCUCUUGGCUCUCGCAUCGAUGAAGAACGCAGCGAAAUGCGAUACGUAAUGUGAAUUGCAGAAUUCAGUGAAUCAUCGAAUCUUUGAACGCACCUUGCGCCCCUUGGUAUUCCGAGGGGCACACCCGUUUGAGUGUCGUGAAUACUCUCAACCUUCUUGGUUUCUUUGACCACGAAGGCUUGGACUUUGGAGGUUUUUCUUGCUGGCCUCUUUAGAAGCCAGCUCCUCCUAAAUGAAUGGGUGGGGUCCGCUUUGCUGAUCCUCGACGUGAUAAGCAUUUCUUCUACGUCUCAGUGUCAGCUCGGAACCCGCUUUCCAACCGUCUUUGGACAAAGACAAUGUUCGAGUUGCGACUCGACCUUACAAACCUUGACCUCAAAUCGGGUGAGACUACCCGCUGAACUUAAGCAUAUCAAUAAGCGGAGGCU
rnacentral:misc_RNA from 1 species